CCCAUGCCUCUCCUUGUUCCCAGCCUCUUCUCUCUCUCUCCCUUAUCCUCUUCUCUCUCUCCCGUCCCCCACGCCUCUCCUUGUUCCCAGCCAAGAUCCACCUCCACCUACCGCCGUUCCCCAAGCCGCUGACGAGCACCAGGCAGCCGACGCCAUGGACGGCUGCGGAGCUUCGCGCCACCCGACGUCAACCGCAUUGCCGCCCCAAGGGAUCCGUGCGCGUGGCCGCGUUGAGCCGCACAUGCGCUAGAGCCAUCCGCCGGUGUGUGCCGCCGCAGCAACAGGUUCGGCAAUGACUGUCGGCCCUGCCGCUUCAUUGCUCCUGCCCAAGCCGGCCUCCGCUUUCUUACCCCGCCACCGGCGAGCUGCCAUGCCCGUCCUCAUCGCACUGGUGCUGUCCUCCAGUAUGCUUGCUGGCUGUGACCAGAGCCCUGUACAUAUUUGGUUCGGUUGCAGCGCUGCUACUUCCCGGUGGAUCUAGGCUGCCCAGGCUAGCAACGUGUGUGUUGCUUUCUUGAUGGGUUUUAAGUGGAUCUUAAUUUGAUGUAUCCUGGCACUUGUCCGUGUGUAAAUCUGAUGUGCAGAACACUUAGAAGUUGCUACUCUUAGGAUAUUCUUGCUCGUAUGUGUACACGUGAAGAAUGGCUAGCUUUUAGAUCUGUUUUCUUUUUGUUAAAGAAAUAUACAUUCAUUUUUAUUGGA
rnacentral:rRNA from 1 species